GCCUCGCUGACUGGUGUGAGCUGAGGAGCAGGUGAAGCGCAGAAGGCCCUCAGGGGCUGCAUUCUUCCCGGGGCACCUGUGUCUGCCCCACUCUGUGGCUCCCAGGAGCAGCUGGAGUACCCCUCAAUGACAGCAGCAAGCACCUGUCAUCUGCAGGAGGCCUCAGGAGCCAUCUAGUGUCACCUAUAGCUGAAGAAAAUGAGGCACAGAGAGGACACAGCUCUGAGGACGGUGGCACAGAAGGAAAGACCAAGAUGCAGAGAGAUGUCUAAAAGGUGCCAGAAGGUGACUAUCCAGCCCUGGUAUCACUGCCUGGUGAUUUCGUUUCUUUGAUCUUCACGAAUGGCCUCACUGGCUGUGAUUUGGACAGAAAUCAGCUGCCACGUGCAACAUUCUCCCAUGGGAACAUGUGUCCGCAGUACCUAUCUCAGAGCCCAAAUCCUUCCUGCCCCACAGCCUUCUCCUGGAACCUGC
rnacentral:lncRNA from 1 species